UCAGACGAUGCGUCAUGCAUAUCAAUAAGCGGAGGAAAAGAAACUAACAAGGAUUCCCUUAGUAACGGCGAGUGAAGCGGGAAGAGCUCAAAUUUGAAAUCUUCAAGGUUUGACCAUGACGAAUUGUAGUUUAAAGAAGUGUUUUCGGUUAGAGAGUUUGGUAAAAGUUCUUUGGAAUAGGACAUCAUAGAGGGUGAGAAUCCCGUAUUUGACCAUUAUUUUCAGCUGUGUGAUACACUCUCAAAGAGUCGGAUUGUUUGGGAAUGCAGUCCAAAAUGGGUGGUAAAUUUCAUCUAAAGCUAAAUAUUGGCGAGAGACCGAUAGCGAACAAGUACCGUGAGGGAAAGAUGAAAAGAACUUUGAAAAGAGAGUUAAACAGUACGUGAAAUUGUCAAAAGGGAAGCGUUUGACACCAGUGUUGUUUUCUCGAAAAUCAAUUAAAAAGAGUUGGAUUUUGUGUUGUAUUGACCUUAACAGCUUGCUUCACUCUUUUCCUGCUUUUUUUAAUGCACUUUUCGUUUAACAAGUCAACAUCAGUUUCUUUUGUUGUAAAAGGGUCAUUGGAAGGUGGCUUUCUCUUCGGAGAAAGUGUUUAUAGCCUUUGAUCUCUGCAAUCGGAGAGACUGAGGUCUGCAGCGUAGAUCCUUCGGGGUUAGAUACAUUUGUGCUAAGCUACAGCUUUUCAUAGACAACUUGUUGACUAUGUUUAGUCUUGUAACUUACCCGCUUAUGCUAUUUUACCUACGCUUAGGAUGUUGAUAUGCAUGACUGAUAU
rnacentral:rRNA from 1 species